GCAAGACUUCAUCCUACAAUUUGGAGAAGAUGUGGCGGCAAGAUUUAUGGAAAGAUGGCCCACAACAUUCAAGCAAAAGAUCAUUCAGCAGUGUAAGGCUCUCCCUUCUUCAAGUGACCUUGAAGAACUUAUCCAUUGUGCUCAGGUGACAUCGGUUGAAGAGGAAAUGGAUGACGCUCGUGCCCUUGGCUGGGACAGUGAUCUUUCAUCAAUUAUCCUCCUCCUCCACCUGAUACCUCCUUCAGCCCA